rnacentral:tRNA from 1 species
GGUAGCGUGGCCGAGCGGUCUAAGGCGCUGGUUUUAGGAAACAGUCUCGAAAGAGGCGUGGGUUCAAAUCCCACCGCUGCCA